AAGGCAAGGCUUUGUGCGUCGCCCGGCAACGGACUGGUUUUUCCACAGGCCGUGUGAACUCGAUUGUUUCGAUCAUGGUCGUCUGCAUAAAAAGGGGCAACUUCGAUUUCAACUUUAGCAGCUAGCAUGGAGCAGUUCCGUUAGAAUCUUAGUUGGCGAUUUAUCUGAAAUCAGUAAGUAUAAUCUGAAAUCAGUAAGUAUAUGUUGAUCUUCUGUAUCAAUUUAGUUGUAUGUGUAUACAUUUAGUUGUAUAUGUUAGUCGAAAAGCCAGAAUGACAUUCUAAUCAUUUUAUGAUGACAUUGUUUCGUUAAUAUUUUUGUACUUUUGGGAACAAAGAACAUAGGAUGUCUUGAUGCCAACCAAGUGUCAUUGGAAAGACUGUAAAAAGAUGUUUAAGGUAUUUGACGAAUGUGUAAUUAUCUUAGUAAAGUGACUUUUUUGGUAUUCUUAAAUUGGCAGGAAAAACCUAAAGCUGGAGAACUAUACAUUGGUUUCUCGUUACUAGUUUGGUAAAUUGGUAAAAUGAUACGACAUAUGACCUGUUACUUUAGAUCAAUUAUUUUCACAAGUGAAGAUUGAUUCCACAAUCUUCCACUUCUCAGACAGACACCCAUCCAGACAGGAUGGGUGAUAGAUGAUAUGAAAUUUGAUUAAUUAAAAAAUUCAUAUUUUAGUUUAUUGAUUGCAGAGUCAGAGAACAAUGUGUGGAAUUUGAUAUUCAAGCACUCGAAACCCCAGCUUUCCUUCUGCUUCAACAAGGCAAUAAAGAAAUUAUAAUUUCGGGAGGUAAACAUUAAAAUCGUCACCAAACUUUGUCGUUGUGUCGGACUUCCAAUCCGGAAGAAAAACGUCAAAUUAUUGGUGAUACGUUUGUCAAAGUAGCAGAUAGAACGACUAACGAUUUAAAUCUCACUUGGAAUACUCUACUUCUCAGACAAGGUACUUCGAGGCCGGAUUUAAUUGAGUCCACUUAGCAUAUGGCUUCUUCGCGUGGUUUGUCAAUACUAAUCGUUUGUACCGAAGAACUUUUCAUGGAAGUUGGUUUCGGUGAGACGCAUUCAAGAGAUGUCGUUUUUGGCCGAUUUUAACAAAAGUGGGAAGGCGGGAUGAAGGCGGGGAUGAUAACCGCUCGCUUCAUAGGACAUGUAUACGGAGUCAGUUUUGCUGGAAGAGCAAACGGUUUCCGAGAUAUUAUGGCGAAUUGGCGACCAGGCCGUACCCUAUCGGGAACUUCCUGAAAUGAGUGGGGGCCCCUAGUUUUUACGUCCAAACAGUUCUUUAUAAAAAAAGAAAGAAGAAACUAUUGAAGCAAUAGCAGAAUGCCGGCGGGUGUUUUCAGAGGUUUGUUUAGAUUGACAUAAUAAAAUUUUAAAAAUAUAAUUAUUUAACUAGGGAAUGACAUCUCUGUUUAACAGAGAUCUCACGGUAACAGGGUCUUUGAUCGUUGGUAACAGAGUCUGUUAUUAAAUAAACAUAGACUGAUAAGGACUGCGUUGAAAUCUCCGCUCUAGGAAUACAUUUUCCCUUUGCAACUCACUUGCUCUGUCAAUUUCACACUUUGAAGUCCGCAGAUUUCCACUCCAACAAAGUGAAUGACGGUAAGCGUGUUGAUAUUGGAAUACGGCACAAAAUUCGUAAGUAUUUUCAUGCGGCUAUGUAUGCUACAACGCAAGCUGAUUUGGAUUAAGCUUAAGCGUAACUGUUGAUCCAAGUGGCGGAAAAGGUGGACACAUCGUGGCCGCCGACAUUUACCUACAUUCGGCAAGAGUACAACUAAUCACUUUGAACGACACUGAACUACAGUUACAUCUAACGAAUGAAUCCUGAACGAUACAUCAACUAAAGUUGAUGAUUCUUCAGUGGAUAAUUCAAAUAAACAUGAAGAAACUAUGAAGAACUGAAAAAAGCUAAAAAGGUGAAAAUAUAAUAUUUUGGAAUUUUCCAAAGUUUUCUAUACUUACUACACUCUAUAACAAUUACUUUUAGGAUUCGUCCAACCCAUAUCCUUAUCUUCAACUUCCAGCUGCUCUCAAAAAAAGAGGAUGCCCGAAAGAAAACGAUGGAUAAUUCAGUUCUUACCAUAAGAAAAAGAAAUUGGAGCCGAAAAAUUUCGAAGAAGGAUUUAAAGACGAGGAAGAUACGAUAAUGAUGGCGUCAAAGGUGAAUUCCACAAAAAAAGCUACGGUAGCAAUAGAAGAAACUAUUAUUGAAAUGGCUUUUCUCUAUCUCAAUUGCAUUCACCUUGUGUUUUAACUACAGAAUGGUCCAGAAGUUAGCUAUAUUUGAAAUGGCUUCUUUCUCCCCGUUGGCUAAACCAAGCGUAAAAGUCAUACCUGUCCAGGUAAUUAAAAACGAUAAUAAUCUUUACCAAACUACUUUAAGUCAUCUAUUCAAUUAUACCCUCACCGUUGUAGGUU